GUGCUCACUUUGGCAGCACAUAGACUAAAACUGGAAGGACACAGAGGCGAUUCGCAUGGCCCUGUGCAAGGAUGGCAUGCAAAUUCGUGACGUGUUCCAUAUUUAA
ensembl:snRNA U6 U6 spliceosomal RNA